GGAAUCCAGUCUGGUAAGGCCUAGCAAGCCGCCAAUACCGAGUCUUUGGAGCGCCAAAGGCUAACAAUGGUGUUUAAGCGUAGGACAGGGAACAGGAACGUCGUAAUGCGAAAGCAUGAAGUGAUUGAGCUUCGUUAGAGUUAUCGAUUGUGUGGGGGCUGGCACAUCCUUGGGUCACCAAUAAGGAGUAGUCGUUAAAGCGAGACUAUGAAAACGCACCGGAGUCCUAGAGCA
rfam:Lachnoclostridium sp. An298 An298_contig_2, whole genome shotgun sequence.